rnacentral:rRNA from 1 species
UGGCGGCGUGCUUAACACAUGCAAGUCGAAGGUGACAACAUCCGUGGCGAACGGGUGCGUAACACGUGGAUAACCUUCCUUCAGGUGGGGAAUAACCCAGCGAAAGUUGGGCUAAUACCGCAUAACAUCGGAUCGAAGGAGCAAUUCGCGGAAGAGGGAUCCGCGGCCGAUUAGCUUGUUGGCGAGGUAACGGCUCACCAAGGCAAUGAUCGGUAGCUGGUCUGAGAGGAUGAUCAGCCACACUGGAACUGAGACACGGUCCAAACUCCUACGGGAGGCAGCAGUGGGGAAUCUUGCGCAAUGGGCGAAAGCCUGACGCAGCAACGCCGCGUGGGGGAUGAAGCUUCUCGGAGUGUAAACCCCUUUCGACCCGGAAGAAAAUGACGGUACGGGUAUAAGAAGCCCCGGCUAACUACGUGCCAGCAGCCGCGGUAAAACGUAGGGGGCCAGCGUUGCUCGGAAUUACUGGGCGUAAAGGGUCCGUAGGCGGUGUGGCAAGUCGGUAGUGAAAUCUCCGGGCUUAACUCGGAGGCUGCUGCCGAAACUGCCGUGCUCGAGUGUGAAAGAGGCGAGUGGAAUUACGGGUGUAGGGUGAAAUGCGUAGAUUUCCGUAGGAACAUCCGAGGCGAAAGCGGCUCGCUGGAUCACAACUGACGCUGAGGGACGAAAGCUAGGGGAGCAACGGGAUUAGAUACCCUGGUAGUCCUAGCCCUAAACCAUCAGGACUUGGGGUUUGCCCUGUACGGGGCAAGC